UGCAAUUUAACUUGUUGUGACUACAAGUGCUAAGAAAAGAAAGAUUUCUAAGAAGAAGUCCCCUGAAAAUUCCGUUGAUACAGAAAGCUCUGCCUUGGUAAAAAGAACCAGGUCUGCCAGAAAAUCAAGAAAAGUGCAAAUAGUGGAAGAAGAGGGUGAAGAGGAAGAGGAGACUGAUGAAGAAAAGAACAAGAUGGUGAAGUUUGAAAAAAGAACAAUUCUGAAGGGGAGGCUCCUCAAAGAUUUGGAAGAGGAAGGAAGGACAUGGUCCCUCAGUUGGAAGGAAUGUUAGCCCUAAAAAGUUUAAGAUAGAGAAUGAAAGAGUAAAUAGUGUGGUGAAAUGAGUAAAAGGUGAAGUUUGAUGAUAAUGAGCUAGGGGAGAUUCUAAGGAUACAUGUUGAAGGCUACAUAAGCAACAUGUCAUAUGUUUCACAUGAAUAUGUAACUUGAGUAACCUCUACUUCCUAAGCAGCCUUCAUUGAACAACCAACCAUACUAUAUAUAAAUACUAGAUAUCCCGUGCAUGUGUUGUGCACGGGCCUAACACGACCAUAAGCCUAACACCACUGCACAAAAUAGGUCCGAGAGUAAGAAAGAUAAUUUCAUACUUGUGUAGUAAGAUUACCCCCGAAAAAUAAAAUGACGAAGCAAUACCAUCCGUUGACUAAAUAUUACAACAUAAUACACCACAUUCAUUUGUUUAGCUUCAUUAGUCCAAUUGCAUUUUUAGCUUGCUUCUAUGAGAAUGAGAAAGAUAAAAACAAUCAGAUAAAUCGUGUUCAUGUUGGUAGUCCCACUAAUACAAAAUAUUGGAUAAAAUUUGGACAGUUGCAGUUGACAACAAAUACUUCAUCUUAUAUCCACCUAAAGAAAAGAAAAUCAAGCAUUAGUAUUAUUGGUAAGACUUACAUAUGGUAGUAUAACAAUCAUAAAAUUCAGCUAGUUUGCAUAUUCAGCAAAACAAUCAUAAAUUCAUUAAUUUUGGAGGAAAAAGAGGGGCAUAAAAUAUCAGCAUGGACUAAGAGGAGAAAGAAAAGAUUCAGACACGGUAGACCUAUUGAAAUGCCCCCAUCAAAGGCAUGUUCUAAAUCUGAAUUGGGUCUCUUCUUUUUAGCAAUCUAUAGCUAGGCAUUAAAUAAUGAUUUACAACCUUGGAGGACCUAUUUAGGGAUAUGAACCUUUAACCUAUUUCAUUGGAGGAGACUAUCUUCAUUGAUUUUGGUAUUGAUGUAAUAACUGAAAAGUGAUACACACCAAAUUUAAAAUAGAAAAUCUGCAAUAGAAGCACUACCAGUAAAUCACAAUUCACAACCAUACUCGCAUAUUCUGUGACUUAGGAGAGAUCAUGUAGUGGUAUUUCUAUUUCAAUCACCUGACCCUACUCUAUUCAUGAGAACAACUGCUAUCUAUGUUGAAUGAAUGCGUCCAGGUUACUACAAAAAUUUCUAGACAAAUUCUAACUUCUGCAAAUACUACUUCAAUUGCCUUAUUUCUAUUAUAUACUUACAAGCAACGACCAUCUCAUCAUGACCAUCUAUCGAAGAGAUGCACCAAAAAGAUCUGAAAAACAUAAAGCAGAUAAACGAACCUUCAAAAUAUAAGUUUUGAGUAGUAUUUAAACACAUGUUAAAGGAUACAAUGAAAAGAAGCAUAUUGCCAACGACAAGUCUGUUUUUUCAUUUCCUUGCAAAACUUACUAAUGACAAACUAAGUGAAUGUGUGGGCUAAAGAUGUUGCAACCUGAUCAUUCUAGAUAUGUCCAUGUUAUUGUCCUUGGUGGGGCUUCAGUGAGAGUUCAUCAUUUAUAAUUUGCUGCUUUUGAGGCUAGUGAAAAAUAUUCAACAUGUUGUGCGAGAGAUUUGGAAACAACAGUUAUCACUUAUCACAUGCCAUCAGUUCUUGCUCGAUCCUUAUCUAUAUGAAAUAAAGCGUGCGUCUAUACCGAUAAGUAGAUAUUGAUUGAUCUCAACUAAUCAAGGGGAAAAUGUUUGAUAUUUUGGUCAAUUCAAAAUAUCAUAAUAAAAAUACCCCCGUACCCUGACAACUUAAAAAAAGUGAAAAGAAGAAAGGAAUGUUGAGGCUAGGAAUGAAGUGCAAAGAGAAAACUGGAGAAAUAAAACUCACAUGCAGACAUCCACUAAUCAAACAAAUCAAAUGCUCAAAAAACAAAAUCAGAGAACAUAGCUUACCAAUUAAUACAAUCGCAGCACACCAGAUUGAUCGGCAAAGGACUGUCAAUCCAACUAAAGAAGAUACUAUCAUGUGACAGAAGCAUUAUUCAAAGUUCAAACUUGCCGCAAUUAUUACUCCCACCGUUCCAGUUUAUGUAAACCUAGCUAUUUCCUUUUUGGUCCGUUCCAAAAAGAAUGACCCCUUUCUAAAUUUGGAAACAAUUUAGCUUAAACUUCCAAUUCUACCCUUAAUGAGAAGCUUUUAUAACCACACAAAUACUCUGGUCCCCAUUUUGACUUGUUUAGGACCACAAAUUCUAAAAAAGUCAUCAUUUUUUCUUAAACUCCGUGAUCAGUCAAACAUGUUCACAUAAAUUGGAACAGAGGGAGUAUUAUUGAAAAAAAUGGAAGGGAAGGAAAAGAUAAAGCUGUAAUUUUGAUUACUUUUGCUCCACGCGUAUAGUAGUCACCGGAACAUCUAUGUACAAGAUAAAAAGUCAUAAGCAAGCUGCGGUAAGGACUUUAUUUUCCUGCAAAACAAUUGUUGAUGUAUAGAAAAACAUGUUACUAAUUUAUAUGAGGGAAUCAAUUAGGAUAUUUGCGAACGAACAUUUAAACUUGUUGCUAAAUUUUUAUGUUUGAGUAGCUUAGUAACUUUUAUUCUCUGUGUAAAAGCAUAGGAGUUAGCAGGACUUCAGAAUAUGCAAGCAUUUGAACUAUCUCGGAGGAGUUGAUUGAAAUAUUUCAAGAAUUUCUCAAGGAUUAAUCUUCAUUUCCUGCACAUACUCUAGUCCCUCUCGAGAUAGUAAUUCUGGGGUUUUCACAUUAUAAAAUGACAUAAAGAUGAUCUCCGAAUGAUCUUCUUAGCUGCUACUUGAUUUUCAAAUGUAUCAACCAAAUCAGACAACCCAAUGAAUGAAAGCUCUUAAUCUUCAUUAUACUCCAGCAUAGAGCGAUAAUGUCUCAAAUUCUAGAGUAAUCUUAAUAUCUCGUUCUGAACACUUAUGUCAUUUGAGUAUCAAAUAAAUCUCAGUUGUAACCUAAAAGCAACAACCAUAAAUUCCAGCUUUGUUUCUUUGAUACUAUGUUGUAGAUUAGUUUUAUGGAGUUACAACCAACAAAUCAGAAGUAGAAAGAUUCAAAAAAUGACGAAGAAACAAUAAUAAUUCAACGAUGAUAGAUAAACAAAAUUGAUUGUCCUUGUAAUAUUGCAUAGAUCAGAGAGCUAUUGUUGAAAUGUGAGACCCGUUUGGCCAUAGAUCACUUUUGACACGGAACCAACCCCCAGAGGAAACAGAGGGACAACAACACAAAACUGCAGCACAUCCCUAUUUUUAUUUCUAAAGCAAGAAAGAACAACGACACUGCCACUCUUCAAUUAAUUUCUAAAUCAAUUCCCAAAUAGAAUUUCAGUGCACCUUUAUCAUCUCUCAACGCAAUUCUAAUGUGCAAAGUCGCCCAAACCUGUAGAAGUAAGAGGUUCUUACUCCCAUGUAGUCUAAAUACUUUUUUUCUUACUAUUUUCUUCAAUCCUUUAUCUUCUUUUUUAUAACAAGAAUAAGUACAACUAUAGAUUUGUUGCCUAACAUAAACUUUUCCUAAGCAUUCAUCCCACAAAUCAAAGUAGGCAAAUAACUUUAAGCUUUUCCUAAUCAUGUAUAUUCCAAUCAAUCAACCUCCAUUCCAUACAUCAUCCUAUUUCUUUGGAUGCUGUCAUAGCCAAAAAGAAGUGACAAAAUAAGACGGUAAACUUUCCUCUUCCAUUGUUAUCUUCGAGAAAUAGAGUAAGACAGUGGACACAUAGAAGGUUUGAAGAUGAAAUUUCAUAAAGAUACCCCACGCCCUAGAUCACUUUCAGCAUUCUAAAGAUGCCAAGUGAAUGUAGAAAUUUGAAAGUUCUAAAAGAUGGAUAUAUAUUCUUUGUUCCGAGUUGGCGAUUUUGGUGUUAUAGAUGUAGUUUAUUGUAAGGUCUGUAAUGUUAUUUGAAAAGUGUUCAUGACGGCUAGUAAGAUGAUAAAGCCCAUAAUACUGUAUGUAAUACCCGAAAGAAUUGUACUCUAGCUAGUUUGUUGAACAUACCAUCACAAUCUCGGUGUUGUUUGUAAUUAGAAAAUUUACCUUUUUAAUCAAAAGCAAUAUAAGGAGAAAAUAUGGUCAAAGUAUAGAAUCAGAUAUGCUGAGCACAUUUUUCCUGAAAUAAAAAGAACUCAAUUUAGUAAAAAUUUUGAUUCAUAUCUUCUCAAGCUCAACCUGAGACUAUACUUUCCUAAAGUCGGAAUAGGAUCGUUCUCCACUUCACGAGAUUUUAAAAAGAACAACUUAAUUUUGUAAAUACUUCAUUAAUCAUUUUUCCCAAAUAAAGUUUUUAAACAUAUAAAAUCUCUAUAAGAAGACAAAAGUGAAAGAACACAAGUAUUUUUCUUGGCUGUACAUUAAAAAUAAAAAGAAUGCAUUUGAAACAUUAGUUUGCUAAUUUCAGUACUGUUGAAGAAGCCUUGUAAAACAUUAAAUUCGGAUAGCCUAACAUACAAUUAUUUCUUGUUAGCUAAGAAGUCCUUUAAAGUAUGCAUCAACUACCGUCAACAGUCAGAUAAAUAUUACUUCUCAUUUAAUUCUAUCCUCUCAUGUCUACAGCAGUUUAGAAAAUCCACAAAAUUGUUUAGAUCCUGGGGCCAUCUUACAAUUACACCAAGAAUACACAAACUGCAAUGACUUGAAUUGAAUACAUGCUAAGGCCCAAUAAGUAUUUUGAAAAAAACUAUAGUUUCUUUCCACAUUGUGCAAAAAAAGCACGAAGGAACUUAUUACUGGAUGUCUUUGUGAAUGUAAUAGAAAAUCUCAUGAAUUAAGCAUAAAAAACCUUUUGUUCUUGGGGAUAAUUGCAUUUUUAAUGAGUUACUAAUAUUGAAAAGGGGAAGUAAGUAAAAGUAAACCAAAAUGUGCAGAACUUACCUGGUACAAGUGAAGCAAUAUUCCUUUCCCCACUUUCAGUUAACAACUUCCUUUAAGAAAAAUCUGAAAAAUCAAUAUUUUGGGACCAUUAUAUUCCUACUAAAUGAAUACAAAAAUAUUCGGUAAUAUCAAAAGUUCAUAUUUCAAACAAAACCCAAGUAAGCGAUACACUAUUCAGUUUAAUAGAGUCUCGUCAAAAAAUAAUAAAAUAGGAGUAAUAAUUUUGAAAAAGAAGAAGAUAAACCCAAUUAAAGAACAUUGUGUGAGAAAAAUAUUGUGCAUGAGUAAAUCAAACAUAUCUACUGACAUGUAUGUAUAACAUUCAAUAAAAUACUGCCCAAAAGUUCAAGAUGCCCAAAAAAUUAUAUUAAAAACAGGAUCCAAACACAUGCAUAGCCGAGAAAACAGAGGAAGAUGCAAAGAAGGUGUCCAAUUCCCUGCUUCUUAGUAGGAGAAACUGAUAGAUAAGUCACCAAAGAAACCCCAAAUUUUCCAUCUUUCAAUUUUCUUUUUCAAACUUUCAGUUCAUACACUUUGAAAACCUAAAUAGACACAAUUCAAUAAUGUAGCCACAUAAGACUCACCAAUCCUUGUAACAUUAAAAAAAUUAGAAAUGGUAAAAGAUAAAAGAUAAAAGAUAUUCUCCAUCUUCAUAAUAGCCAAAGGUAACACAUAAAUAUUAAAAAAAUGAACCCAGAUGGGACUAAAUCUAAAAACUGAGCAAAAUAUUAACAGGGGGAAGAAGAAAAAGGCAUCAGCAAGAGAAAGAGUCGGUGGAAGGGAAAUUGAGAAAUGUAGGAAAAAG
rnacentral:lncRNA from 1 species